CUGGCCCUGGUCGGGACGGUCCUGCUGGCGUCGGGGUGAACCCGGGGGUCAGGACCCCGGUUCGAGGUCGGCGAGCCGGGCC
rnacentral:tRNA from 1 species